rnacentral:rRNA from 1 species
CCAUGUCUUUGGGAUGGGGAGAAGAUCCUCAAGAACCCAUAUGAGAUCUAUGCCCACAUAUACUCCUUCUAUAACACGCUCCUCGCGACGGCUCCCAGGGGUGGGGUGUCUUUGGCUGCCGGCUUUUGUCCAACUGAGGCUAGGGUCACGGAUGAUGAUAAUGCGGGUCUGACACUCCCAUUCUCACCAGAGGAGGUCUGCGGAGCAAUCGCCUCCAUGAAGGCGGUAUCCGCUCCGGGACCGGACGGCUUACCUAUUGCAUUCUUCCAGAAAUUCUGGCCCGUGCUACAACCAGUGAUCACGAAGAUGUUCCAUGAAUUCUACAUUGGGACUCUGGACCUGGCCUGUCUAAACUAUGGCGUCAUCACCUUGAUCCCCAAAGUAGUUGGGGCGAUAUAUAUCCGUCAGUUUAGGCCAUUCACGGUUACUAAUGUGUUAGAGCGGAUUUUUGCAAAGGUCUUCCUUAUGUGUCUUGCACCUAUUACAUAG